rnacentral:lncRNA from 10 species
UCUUUUGAAGUAUUUUUAUUUCACUUUUUCUAACAGCAAUAUAGAAACAAAUAAUCAUAAAAAAUAAAAGUAUAAAUCGUCCAUUGAUUAUGUAAUAGCACUUGGUAUUGCUACAGGGUGUGGGUCUUGAACUCGGUCAGGCAUCGUCAAGCCUGCCCAGGCCCUCCAGGCCUCUUUGAUAGCUACUGAGCCCCUGAAGGCAUCAAGACAUGACCACGCAUGGCAGUGUCGGUGGAGAGUUUGCGUUUUACACCCAGCGAUGCUUGGGGAUGGCAGAGAGAUGGAUGGAUAAUGAGUACAACUGCAAACAGCACUGUACACAUGUGGUGAGCCAGGAGGCUGGGACGGAGGUUAGGCCAAUGUUGCUGCUGACUCAUAGACCCACAGAGAGCAGGGACUUCACAAAGCUGAAUUAAUGUGGUUAGUUGUGUUCACUGUGCAAAGUAAGGAAGCCAGUCAACACUGGACGAUGUUUAGAAAACAUCGCUGUCCCCCUCCACUUCUCAUCUUGGGUCACCUCCUCAUCCCAUAAUAAAGUUCUCUUAGGAUAAACCGAGCAAAAUAGCUCAGACAUUUAACUUAUCCCCAAACAUGUGUCUUGAUCUUAGUUUCCACCCAGAGAAUGAAGAAAGCAAGCAAGCACUGGGUUACCCAAGCAACUAAAUCACUCAGUUGCAUCCAACUUAAUUGGACUGACUACAUUCAGCUAAAUCUUUCCAUUUUCGCUGAACCCAAUGGUUUCGGUUACUGUAAUGACUGAUUUCCAAAAAGAAAGAAAAACCUAAUUUGGCAUUUUUUCAGAAUAUGGGAUGGGCUUUCCUGCAUGGGUUCAAGGAUGUUUAUGGCAUGUUCUCUGUCGUGUGUGUGUGUGUGGGGGUGUGUGUGUGUGUGUGUGUGUGUGUGUGUGUAGGUCAGCCCGAGACCUCAAGGGCUUAUCUGGAAAGAGGUUGGCAGGAAAGGAAUGCGUCUUCAGGACUUGGCAGUGUUUGUGCAGAGCUCUGAGGAAGGACAGCAGUACAUGGUCCUCAGGCCUGCAGACUUCAUUGCACAGAGCAUGGCAGACAGUAGAUCUUGGCUGCGUUGUUCUGCCUACUUUGAAGGAGGCAUAGAACUUCUGGCUCUUUGAAAUUUUAAAAAAGAGACCAAGUUCUUUUCUGUCUACUAGAGAUCAUUCAUUUGCAUUGUCCUACUCUCAGCCCACAAAAGAAAAGCAACCUCUCCCCUAUGUGGGUCACGAUGUGUGGGUGGACACGGGCCCCACUGAGAUUACACAGGAAGAAGUCACAGUAGACAGAGCAGCCAGAUGCCGUGCGUAGACCAUGGGACAGUGAUUAGUGACACAUGCCCUGUGGGGCCACUGUCAGUGCCUUGCUCCACCUUGACCCAAAUGUUCUGAAUUGCAAUACUCUGGGAUGGGGGCUGAGGUGGA